CCCAGCCAGUCCGCGCUGCCUUCAGGAGGAGCGGAGCAGUCCGACGGUAAAGCCACAUGCGAAGCCCCGUCCGCCAUUGGGAUACUCGGCACUACAUAGAAACAUAAAAGGACUACUUUAUUAUUUUUUUUAUUGUCGUUUUAUUGGAGUUGUGUACCUUCUUCUACCGUAAUACCGACUGUAAACUGAACAAGAUGGAGAACGACGAUAAAUAUCUCCCCGAACUGCAGGCGGAGAAGGACAGCCUGGACUCGUCUUUCACUCACGCCAUGAAACUUUUAAGCGCAGAAAUCGACAGAGUGCAGAAAGGAGAUUCUAAGAAGGAGACGGAGACCUACCUGGACCUCUUCACAGUAAAGAACAUCAAACUGAAGGAGCGAGUGCUCAUCCCUGUCAAACAGUACCCUAAGUUUAAUUUCGUGGGGAAGAUUCUGGGACCACAGGGCAACACGAUCAAACGUCUGCAGGAGGAGACUGGAGCCAAGAUCUCUGUGCUGGGCAAAGGAUCCAUGAGGGACAAAGCCAAGGAGGAGAACCUGAGGAAAGGCGGCGAGCCGAAGUACGCCCACCUUUCCAUGGAGCUGCACGUGUUUAUCGAAGUGUAUGCCCCCGUGCCGGAUGCCUACCUGCGCAUGGGGCACGCCAUGGAGGAGGUCAAAAAGUUCCUGUUCCCUGACAUGAUGGACGACAUCUGCCAGGAGCAGUUCAUGGAGAUGGGCUACCUGAACGGAGGCCAGGAGCAUGGAGGCAGAGGCCGAGGGGGCAUGCCUAUCAGGGGCCGGGGUGGCCCCCCUGCAGGAGCACAAAGGGGGAGGGGGAUGCCUCCUCACGCUGCUGCAGCCAGAGGAGGGGUGAGCAGAGGAGGCCCAGCCAGAGGUGGAGCGGUGAGGGGUGCCCCCGCCGGCAGAGGGGGGCCUCCUGCUGCCCCAGCCAGAGGGGCGGUGGCACCGCGCGCCAGACCCCCAGCGGGCGGACCGCCUCAGAGGAUGGCACCACCCCCUGCUCACCAGCACACCACUGGGACAGCAGCAGAGAGCUACGACGAAUACGGCUACGAUGAGAGCUACACAGACGCCGCCUACGAGUCGUACGACAGCUAUUACAAUCAGCCGCAGGCGGAACCAGAAUAUUAUGACUACGGACACGGAGAAACAACAGAGUCAUAUGAGUCGUAUGCCCAAGACGACUGGAACGGCACCCAGCGAACAACUCCAGGGAAAGCCCCUCCCCCCUCCAGAGGUGGCAGCACGGCGUACCGGGAGCACCCGUACCGACAGUACUGAAGCAGACCCUCCACCCUUAGUGUUGCCCCGACAACCGCCUGUCUGCCACGGCAGCUCUCGCUUUAAGAAGCCUGACAAAAGCACAGCUACCGGUCACCAAACGUCAGGAGCGUGAAGGAGUCGGAUACUAAAGAGUGCUCAGAGAAACUGGAGCAGCUCGCCUGGAAGAAGGUGGUCAGAUGAAGCUCUCAGGGGCAUCCCAAUGGACGGGGGGGAGAAACAAAAAAAGAAUGGAGUUACUGGUUCUGUUGUUUUAAAAGCUGAGGGAGUUUGUCCUCGCCAUGCGCAGACGGCAGCCGAUUCAGGCUCAAACAGGACUUGAAGCUGUUUGGGAGAGAGAUGACGACUCCUCACCUUAUGAACUCUAAUGCUGGCCGAUCACCAUGGAUUAAUGUUUUGUAAUUACUGUAACUUUUGAACACGUUUUCCCUCCACCUCCUCUACCAGCAGCUAGAAAGCUAGCGGGCUAAUCUACCGGAAAAUGAGCGCUCCUUUUUAUAGAACGCUGUGAAAUUGUUUUUUAAUUUUCCUCCACCCCUCAAUCUGACCUAAAGUAAUUUUUUCUUCUUAAAAUACGCGACGCCGGAUUUUUAAGAGGUUUGCAGUGUUUUCAAAUUCACGCCUGAUUGCAGGGGAUUACAGUCGGCGGUUAAAAGGGGCGAGGAUCAGAAUGGUCGGGUUCAUCGACGCUGCAGUCCAGCGCUAAUUCAAAAGCAUUUGCCCGCCUGCAAACAUUAAAGGCUUUAUGUUCUCAGCAGCUUCACAUCCAAGUAGAAUUCAGCAGGAGGGAAAAGGACAGAGGGUGAAGACAGACAUUACUGACACCCCUUCCUUUCAUUCAUCCGUUCAUCCAUCCAUCAUGCUUCUGUUGAUUCGAUUCCCCCCCCUUCUGCCACUUUCAGCCAUUAUCACUGAUGACAUUACAGCAGCCUGUGGUGCCGAGUUACAUCCAGAGGUCAAAAUCCUACUUUCCUGUAUUAAAAACAAAUUUCCCGGUGCCGAUCCAGUGGUCAGAAGCAGCAUUAGCUCCGUUUGGCUUAUUGGAAAAGCCUGCUUCUUAUGGGAUGGAGCAUUAGAUACCAGGACUGAAACCAUCAGCGGAGAUGAAAUGUCAACGACCAUAUCCAAAACAGACCAUUUUUCAGUCUUUAUGCGCUAUUAUGUCUGAAGUAAUGAUUCCUGCGUCUCCUAUAAUCUAAUGGUGGAUAAGUGAUGGUGUGGAAGCAGUCUGGUUGUGAAUCGAUGAACUGUCAGGAAGCAUAAGGGUGGAGAGGAAAGUAAACGUUGCUGCGCUGUGAUCAAUAAAGGUAGACUAGAGUCUGAGAGAGACUGGAAUCCGUCACCGCCGGUGUUUCUGCCCACGUCUACAGGAGCCUGCCGCCGCGCGUUCAUCUAAUGCUGGGGGGGGGGUGUUAAAACGCAGAGUGUUGAAGCAGUGGACAGCUGGAUUGCUUCCUUCGGCCUUGACGGAUUCACACCAUCAGAGGAACAUCUCAUGCUGCUGCUGCUGGUUUUAAAAAAAGAAAAAAAAGGUGAUUUUUGAACCUUUUUUUUUACAGACUUCAUGUAAGCUCGCCUCAUGCCUGGUGUCCUUGACGCUCCAGGGGGAAAUGUUCUGAAGAUUUAUCUUUCUAUGGCUUCUAUAAAUACUGUGUACAGUUCAUGUAAAACAAAACAAGCUCCUAACUUGUAUCAAAGGUCGGAUUUUAAUACAAUAAAAAUGGCAA